rnacentral:rRNA from 1 species
UACGGGGGGGGCAAGCGUUGUUCGGAAUUACUGGGCGUAAAGGGCUCGUAGGCGGCCAACUAAGUCAGACGUGAAAUCCCUCGGCUUAACCGGGGAACUGCAUCUGAUACUGGAUGGCUUGAGUUCGGGAGAGGGAUGCGGAAUUCCAGGUGUAGCGGUGAAAUGCGUAGAUAUCUGGAGGAACACCGGUGGCGAAGGCGGCAUUCUGGACCGACAUUGACGCUGAGGAGCGAAAGCCAGGGGAGCAAACGGG